UACGGUAGGGUGCAAGCGUUAAUCGGAAUUACUGGGCGUAAGCGUGCGCAGGCGGUGAUGUAAGACAGAUGUGAAAUCCCCGGGCUCAACCUGGGAACUGCAUUUGUGACUGCAUCGCUGGAGUGCGGCAGAGGGGGAUGGAAUUCCGCGUGUAGCAGUGAAAUGCGUAGAUAUGCGGAGGAACACCGAUGGCGAAGGCAAUCCCCUGGGCCUGCACUGACGCUCAUGCACGAAGCGUGGGAGCAACAGG
rnacentral:rRNA from 1 species